AAACAAUACUUCCCUCUACUGGAAGGCCCAGGAAUUCUGGAAUUUAAUCUGAAGUGUUCAAUUUUUCUGAGCUAUUUUUGUUUGACUGAGAAGAGAGACCACAGCAGCAUAGGAUGAAAAAGAAAGAGGGGAAUUAUAAUGGUGGAUUUUUUUGGUUAAAGCCUUGGCUUAAGGAAUUGGAGACCUCCUAUACUUCGUUUUUAAGUUAUAUUCAAUGAAUCCAUCAUUUCCCAUGUGAAAAUGGCAUUUUGGAGGACAAGGAGAAAUUUCAACCAGCUUUAUGAAAUACUGCUGAGUACAGAAGCAACCACUUCUGAAAAUGCUUGACAACAGCCCACUGUAUCUGUGGUCUCACAUGGGCUUUGCUCACUGUGUGCAAUUAUGUCCUAAAUCAGACGACUGCAACACAUGAGGCUUUUUUCUUCAGUGACCCCCAGCUGAACGUGUUGAAUCAUGUUCCUCAAGACUGACACAUCCCCAGUGUGACAGGAAGAAAGUCCUGAUGGAAAUAGUGUUACUGCUGACCGUCAACUGCUGUCAUCCCUGAUACACUCUGAGGCCACAUUGCAUCUUGGCAGUGGUCAGCCUCGCAGAAAACUGCCUGAGCUUGCACUACUCUCUGCUGUGUUUAUAUUUGGCUGGACAGCUCAAGAUUAUUCUUUCAGUCUGGAGAGAAGUGGAAGCCAUGUUUUACAGCAGCUGAGAAUUGCUAAAAUAAUACUUCUUCUGUGCAUGCACUUAAAAGUCCCACAGCAUUCUUGCUCACAUGCUCCAGAAUUGCAUGCGCAGCCUUUGAAAUAGCAGAAUAAGCUUUAUGUUUCCAGCCUACAGAACGGGAGAAGAGGUUAGCAGUCUAUCUUCUACUCUUCAUUUGCAACUUUGUUUAUGGAGGGUGGAGAAAGGACAAUACUGCCCCAUGCCUCUUAUUCUACCUCUACAAGUGGCUGACUGCAAUUUGGCUCGUGAUCCAACCUAGCACCCAGAUGUCUUUUUCAGCUUUGCU
ensembl:lncRNA